rnacentral:rRNA from 1 species
CCUACGGGUGGCAGCAGUGGGGAAUAUUGCACAAUGGGGGAAACCCUGAUGCAGCGACGCCGCGUGAGUGAAGAAGUAUCUCGGUACGUAAAGCUCUAUCAGCAGGGAAGAAAAUGACGGUACCUGACUAAGAAGCCCCGGCUAACUACGUGCCAGCAGCCGCGGUAAUACGUCGGGGGCAAGCGUUAUCCGGAUUUACUGGGUGUAACGGGAGCGUAGACGGAAGAACAAGUCUGUAGUGAAAUCCCGGGGCUUAACCCCGGAACUGCUUUGGAAACUGGCAGGCUGGAGUGCAGGAGGGGUAAGCGGAAUUCCUAGUGUAGCGGUGAAAUGCGUAGAUAGUAGGAAGAACACCGAUGGCGAAGGCGGCUUACUGGACUGCAACUGACGUUGAGGCUCGAAAGCGUGGGGAGCAAACAGGAUUAGAUACCCGUGUAGUC